UAAGGUGGUUAUAGCGACGGGGCUCACCUCUUACCUUUCCGAACAGAGAAGUUAAGCCCGUUAGCGCCGAUGGUACUGCAACUGUGGGAGAGUAGGUCAUCGCCUUUUUUAGAAAAGCAUUCAUAAAUCUAUGAAUGCUUUUUUUGUUUUAUAGAGCUUAAGAUAGGUGAGAUUUGUUAAGAAUAAAUUAUAGUAUAAUUACUAA
rnacentral:rRNA from 1 species